rnacentral:rRNA from 1 species
UACAGAGGUCCCGAGCGUUGUUCGGAUUCACUGGGCGUAAAGGGUGCGCAGGUGGCAUGGCCAGUUUGAUGUGAAAUCUCCGGGCUCAACCCGGAAAUGGCAUUGAAUACUGCUGUGCUGGAGGUUUGGAGGGGGGACUGGAAUUCUUGGUGUAGCAGUGAAAUGCGUAGAUAUCAAGAGGAACACCAGUGGCGAAGGCGAGUCCCUGGACAACACCUGACACUGAGGCACGAAAGCCAGGGGAGCGAACGGG